rnacentral:lncRNA from 1 species
GGGGUGCACUCUUGUUCAUGGGCCCUUUCCCUCUAUAUUUGAACCCCAACAGAUCGUCUCUCAAGUCGUUCCCUUUGGUUGCUUACAAUCCACCACGCUUCCCUGCAAGUUCACGCCCUCGUGAACGAUUGGAAAAGGGGGUGCACUCUUGUUCAUGGGCCCUUUCCCUCUAUAUUUGAACCCCAACAGAUCGUCUCUCAAGUCGUUCCCUUUGGUUGCUUACAAUCCACCACGCUUCCCUGCAAGUUCACGCCCUCGUGAACGGAAGCUGAGAGCCACAGCUCUCCCGAGAGCCCUGCUCUCUUGACACCCUACCCCUCGGGUCGAGCCCAGCGGGAGCAAACUGGACCAGCCAGAUGUCAAUCAACAUGUGGUGUGAUUCCCUUAGCCAACCAACAGAGUCGGACUCAAGACCUCUCUGAUACCAAAUGUAAGCUCUUGAGUUUGGACUUCCCGGGAUGUCACCCAGCCCAGUACUAUUCAAACCCAAGGACGCUUAACUCCAACUAUCCCAAGACC